CUAACUAUUUGAUGGCUUCACAGCCCUAAGUGAGGAAAUCUAUUAAAGGUUGAUGCUUCAGAUGUAUCUUGCUGUCUCUUAAAAGUAAUGACAGUUGUUUUAAAAAAGAGUAGUUAUUAUUGUGUUCCUCUUUGAACAUAUGAAUACCAAGGCGAUGCAUGGGAACAGGCUUGAACAUCACCUCACAAUGUGCCCUUUGGAAAACCUGCAGUAAAAAAAAGUGUGAGAAAAAAACAUCAGAAGUUAAAGGACAAACAAUAGACUGUUUAUGAGAGGGUGUAUGAAAAUAAUUUAAUAUUGAUAUAUGGUGACGUUUUCAUUACUUCCUUAAGUCUGGUAAUGCAAAUGUGCAUAAAGAUAAUACAGCACUGAAAUGGCUCUGAGCAGUUGAAGUGGUCUUGCAAUAAGUGAACUUCAGAAUAUUUUACCAGGAUAUCAGCAUCUGAGAUGAGCGUGUGAGCUGUGCAUGAGUCAGAUAAAGGACAAACACAGAAAUCUUAGUUACAAAGAAUGCAAUUACAGAAAGAUGGAGGGAAUAUUCUAACGAGCUCUUUAAUGUUGAAAUGGAUAAAGGCAAACAAACAGCAAAUUUCCAGUCAGCUGAGCUUUUUGUGGAAGAAUCAAGAGGCAGUCACAACACUCAGGAACAAUACGGCACCAGCGAUAUAAAGGAAAUUUCAAGCAUACCAAAAGAAUGUUAUGCCAGUCAAACAGGAAAAAAAGAAAUCUCAAGUGCUGGAGUUAAGAGACCUUCCUGAAAACUCCUCAUCCAGACAUUCCCUGAGGUGUUUACCUUGAAAAUGCCCAGCAGGUUGUAUCAGACACUCCUUGUCACAGAACUGAACAACACAGCUCAGCUAGUAGGUGCUGUCAUUUGGUUGAAGAAGUUUCAGUUACUUUCAUUUUGAUGGAGUAGAAUUUAAUGUGCAGCUGAUGACAAAACACAACAAAAUUAAAUAAACUUGUCCUUUUUUUCCCCUUGUAUUUCUUUAUUCAAAACCAUCUUCACUGUUGUAUCAUCAAAGGCAUUUUACUACUGUGUGCCUGGAAAGAGUAAAUUAAGGUUUAUGAGUAGCACUAACAAUCAAUUUUGAAUUUGCUCCUGAAUUCUCUUAUAGCAGUAGCUCUGUUUUCAUGCUGUUUUUUUCCCCAAAAUGGUGAUUUGUGUAUGAGACACUGCAGUUAAAAUGUGUAACAAACCUUUUCUGUUACUAUACAAAAGAUUUGAAGAGCAAGUUAAAUAGUUUUAAAAUAUAUUCAGUUUAUAAUUAAUCAAAUUCCUUAGUUUCAGCUUUCGUUAUAGAUUUGCUUUUGUUGUUACUGUGGAAGCCCAUUACAUAAGUUGUUUGCAAAACAUAAUAUCACUGGAAAUUAGUUUCCAUUCUGUUUUAUGUCUUGUGUUUGUGUUGUUUUUUAAAGUAAUGUUCCAUCUUGCAGAUAAGGUAACCAAAAUGGACUGCUACUUUCUCAAUACCAUAGUUAUGUUUAAGAGCAACCUUCAAAGUUGAUAGCAGAUCUGUCUUACUGCAAGGAGUUUUUAUGCUAAAUUCUUUAUGCAACAAAGCUUCCAACCCUGUAUUACAGUUUGUCCAAUUGUAUUUAAUCUCCUCUUAGCCAUUAAGAAGAAUCCUCUCUUCUUUUCAGAAGGUCAUAGCUGAGUAAGUUUAUUGCAUGUGGAAAAUAGGCUUAUUUUUCCUGUGAGGAGUACCAUUUGUUGUGGUGCAAUAGCAUUCCUAACCAAACCUUGGCAACUGUUCAUCUGCUGCUUGAAGAGAACCACACUUUAUACAGGAGGAAAUAAAAGCUGUCUGAUUUUUAUUUUUAUUUUUUACUUUACACUAUUGGAAUAUACAUAUGUCAGAAGAUCCAAGUCUGCCUUAUGUAAACUUGUGUUAAAACCACUACUAUUUAUUUAUGAUAGCAUACUUAAAGAACUGAAGACGUUCAUUAGCUUUAAUGGAUUGUGAGGCCAUAUUUAUUGCUAGUAACAACAAGGGAAUACAGAUUAUAAAUAGCUGUCAUUUCAUAUUAUAAAAUGAAUGUAGAAGCUAGUUACUUGCAAAGUUUGUGGUUCUGCAAAUUCUUCUUUUUGCAAAUGAAAUGAAUGUUACUCUUAAGGUGCCACUGCUUUUUGAGCCUUCUCUCUUAAAUGAUGCUGUGUGCUUUAGAAAAAAUCAAUGCUGCACUGCUAUGUGGACAUAAUUACUAAAGAUUUGGGCCUGGUAGGCUACUAUUCAUUCCUAGAGAAAAAAGAUAAGGAAGCAGCAGUUUGCAUUGCUCAGUAGCUUUAAUGGACUUUGAUCUUCUGUUCUGUGGAUUUGUUCAUUUUAUUUGCACCUAAUUUUAAAAUAUUUUCCCAAAGACCUAUCAUUGACUGUAACCUGAUAAAAGUUUCAUAGGUGGGAGUGUGAAAGCAGUCGCUGAUGGUGCAUUAAUCGGUGCCAGAUGGCACAGCUGGACAAUGUACUGCAACUGUUCUCUGCAUCCUGAAGUUGCCUAUUGAGCAAAGACCUCUAGCAGCACUGUCUUCUUUCUGUAAGGCUGUAUGAUUCAGAGAGAUAUCAAAUGAGAAGGCUGAAGGGCCUUCAUAUUGCUACUGGCAGUUCAAGUAACCAGACCUAUUUUUCUCUCCAAUGCUUCAAGUUUUCUUGGAUGAAAACUCCUUAGAUUUUUCUUUCAGUGUUAAAUAUUUAGCUUCCAAGUGUCUCAGCAGUGUCAAAAGUUUCAUGCUCAACAGGUGGUGGUUUCAGAGUAUUGUAUACACUGUGCCUUCGG
ensembl:lncRNA